GAAAACCACAUACUGCAUGUUCUCACUCAUAAGUGGGAGCUCAGCUAUGGGUAUGCAAAGACAUACAGAGUGGUAUCAUGAACAUUGGAGACUCAGAUGGAAGGAGGGGGGAGGAUGGGAGG